rnacentral:lncRNA from 1 species
GCGUCUCAUGGCAUGAUUGGCAUCUACCGGUAUUUCUCCACGUUUCUUUUGUUGAUUAGCAGGUUUCGUAUUGCAUUCGCGAGAUUGAAAUUGGGUUUAAAUGUCCUAUCUUAUAUAUUUGUAAAUAGUUUUAUCGCUCGUUUUUGAAUAACUAUAUUUAUACCUGCAACGGUAAUGUUUCAAGUUGUACCCGGACCCGGUAGCGGGACUUCGGCCCCUGCUGAAAGAGGAGGAAUCAAAGGAACCAUAUUGAAUUUGUAUUACGAUCCUUUCAAAUGGUCAUGCAUCAAGAGCAUAGUGUUGUUUGCAGUCAGCGUCAAGAUCGCCAACGAGUUUGUUGGCUAUGACGUCAUGGCCGCCAACCCUGCCUAAAUCCAUAAGCAAAUAUGGCUUGGGGAACACAAGUCUAAUGAAAGAUGGCAGAAGCAGGAGACAAAUGAGGCAGGAUUAAGUUUUCCCAUCAACGCGUAUAUUGUGGAUCUCAUGUACAAACUUGAUUCAUUUAAAUAGAAUUAUAUAAAAACUAA